rnacentral:rRNA from 1 species
GACGAACGCUGGCGGCGUGCUUAACACAUGCAAGUCGAACGGAAAGGCCCUGCUUGCAGGGUACUCGAGUGGCGAACGGGUGAGUAACACGUGGGUGAUCUGCCCUGCACUUCGGGAUAAGCCUGGGAAACUGGGUCUAAUACCGGAUAGGAGCCAUUUUUAGUGUGAUGGUUGGAAAGUUUUUUCGGUGUAGGAUGAGCUCGCGGCCUAUCAGCUUGUUGGUGGGGUAAUGGCCUACCAAGGCGGCGACGGGUAGCCGGCCUGAGAGGGUGGACGGCCACAUUGGGACUGAGAUACGGCCCAGACUCCUACGGGAGGCAGCAGUGGGGAAUAUUGCACAAUGGGCGCAAGCCUGAUGCAGCGACGCCGCGUGGGGGAUGACGGCCUUCGGGUUGUAAACUCCUUUCGCUAGGGACGAGGCUUUUGUGACGGUACCUAGAUAAGAAGCACCGGCUAACUACGUG